GUUGGUGAACCAGCGGAAGGAUCAUUAAAGAGAUCAUGCCCUCCGGGGUAGACCUCCCACCCUGUGUUAUUUACUUGCGUUGCUUUGGCGGGCCGCCCCCUCGGGGGCCCCUGGCUUCGGCCGGGGCGCGCCCGCCAGAGGACCCCAACUCCGCGUUUAGUGUCGUCUGAGAAAAACAAAAUAAGUUAAAACUUUCAACAACGGAUCUCUUGGUUCUGGCAUCGAUGAAGAACGCAGCAUCUGACUGACU
rnacentral:misc_RNA from 1 species